GAUUCGUCACACUAUCAUUAACUGAAUCCAUAGGUUAAUGAGGCGAACCGGGGGAACUGAAACAUCUAAGUACCCCGAGGAAAAGAAAUCAACCGAGAUUCCCCCAGUAGCGGCGAGCGAACGGGGAGGAGCCCAGAGCCUGAAUCAGCAUGUGUGUUAGUGGAAGCGUCUGGAAAGGCGCGCGAUACAGGGUGACAGCCCCGUACACAAAAGCGCAUGUGCUGUGAGCUCGAUGAGUAGGGCGGGACACGUGGUAUCCUGUCUGAAUAUGGGGGGACCAUCCUCCAAGGCUAAAUACUCCUGACUGACCGAUAGUGAACCAGUACCGUGAGGGAAAGGCGAAAAGAACCCCGGCGAGGGGAGUGAAAAAGAACCUGAAACCGUGUACGUACAAGCAGUGGGAGCACCCUUCGGGGUGUGACUGCGUACCUUUUGUAUAAUGGGUCAGCGACUUAUAUUCUGUAGCAAGGUUAACCGUAUAGGGGAGCCGGAGGGAAACCGAGUCUUAACCGGGCGUUAAGUUGCAGGGUAUAGACCCGAAACCCGGUGAUCUAGCCAUGGGCAGGUUGAAGGUUGGGUAACACUAACUGGAGGACCGAACCGACUAAUGUUGAAAAAUUAGCGGAUGACCUGUGGCUGGGGGUGAAAGGCCAAUCAAACCGGGAGAUAGCUGGUUCUCCCCGAAAGCUAUUUAGGUAGCGCCUCGUGAAUUCAUCUCCGGGGGUAGAGCACUGUUUCGGCUAGGGGGCCAUCCCGGCUUACCAACCCGAUGCAAACUGCGAAUACCGGAGAAUGUUAUCACGGGAGACACACGGCGGGUGCUAACGUCCGUCGUGAAGAGGGAAACAACCCAGACCGCCAGCUAAGGUCCCAAAGUCAUGGUUAAGUGGGAAACGAUGUGGGAAGGCCCAGACAGCCAGGAUGUUGGCUUAGAAGCAGCCAUCAUUUAAAGAAAGCGUAAUAGCUCACUGGUCGAGUCGGCCUGCGCGGAAGAUGUAACGGGGCUAAACCAUGCACCGAAGCUGCGGCAGCGAACGUAUCACCCAAGACAACUUUACGGAGUUGACGAUUGACGGAGCGAAGCGACGUCAAAGCGUUCAUUAAAGUCGAGUUGGCUUAGGGAUACGUU
rnacentral:rRNA from 1 species